rfam:Operophtera brumata OBRT01_Sc00879, whole genome shotgun sequence.
CGUUCUAUGGCCGAACUGGUAAAGGCAUCACAGGCGAAGAUGCGGGUUCGAGUCCCACUGGAACGG